UGGACACUUUGUUUUCUCGCAGUCUCACUCUCUCUCAGGUAUGUCUAUCUCUCUCAGUCUGUAUAGCCGUUAAAAAACUUCCUCUUCUCCAAACCAAAAUAAAAGAAAAGAAAAGGAAAGAUUGUCUCCUGCGUGCUCUCCCGCUAAUUAUCCCUCUAGUCUCUAACACAAAUAGCUUCUUCAAUUCAGUGGUAAAAUUAAUGGGGAGUAGGGUUCCAGUGCAGCACUGCAACCUGAGAUCAGCUGGAUCCUUCAUUGCCACCAACUCUCUCCAUGAUCUCAACACCGUCGAUUCUCGUCCCUCUAACCUCGAUUCCAUGUCCGCAGACGCCGAUCAUACCUUAAACGCAGACGAUGAUUCCGACGCUGUUGACUGCAUUCAUGAUUCCUAUAGCAAUUCCUUACCACUUCACAGUGUAGGAGUCGAAGAAGAUCACACUAGUCUUGAGAAUACUGGGUCUUCUGGAGGUGCAUACGAUAUAUUGACAUUUGAUGAUGUUUCACCUAUCGAAUCUGCAAGAGCAAGAUUUUUGCAAAUAAUUGUGGAUCACUUUAUUAGUGACCAUGUGAUUGAAGUAGCUGAUAAUGAGUCAGAGUAUGCUGCUCACCCGGGACAGGAUAAACUAACUAAGAGGAAAUCUGGAGAUGUGCAAUAUGAAGGUGAUCCGAGGUUCGCUUUGCCGUUGAUGUAUGUUGCUAAUAUGUAUGAAACUCUAGUGAAUGAUGUGAAUAUGAGACUGGCUUCUUUGAAUGGUGUUCGUGAUAAGACCAUUGGAGUAGCCCUUGAAGCAGCUGGUGGUUUGUAUAGAAGAAUGGCCAAGAAAUUUCCCAAAAAAGGUUCUUGUAUAUUUAAAAGAAGAGAAUUGGCAACUUCUCUUGAAACAAGGACCAGAUUUCCAGAAUUAGUAAUACAAGAAGAGAAGAGAGUUCGCUUCGUGGUGGUCAAUGGUUUAGAUAUAGUUGAGAAACCAAGUAGUAUGCCUAUUGUAGAUGCUGAGUGGUUUAGACGAUUGACAGGUCGAAGUGAAGUUGCCGUCUCUGCUCAAGAUUAUAAAUUCUACUCCCCGAGGCACAAGUUUAGGCGUGUUUUGUCUAAUAUUCCUGGUUUGGCUACACUUCCUACAGAAGAUAAUUCUUCAACAAUGACUACUGCACAAGGAUUCCGAUCUCCACAAAACGAGCAGCAGACUCCUUCGAAGCAUCAUGUGCAACUGUUGUCACAUCAACCUCAGUUUCACCCAAUAAACCAGAACCAUCAUCAAGAAGUUCACCAAAGUCAACAUGCAACCCAAUUUUCUCAAAAUCAUCAAUGUGGGCCACCUUCACACAUGCCUGAAAUUGCUCAUGCUACCCAUUCUCCAACCAUUCCUCAGCACAUGGUCUACUUGCAGCCCCUCACAGGAGGCCAUGUUGGAGGGCGCUUGCAUUCAAUGUUGGAACCCCUCGUUCCCGUGGAAUGAAUCCAUGCAAAGGCAAGAUCUGAUGAUCCAAAUUCUUCUGUACAAACCCAGACAAAGCUAACUGCCUACGAGUCCUCCGAAGUAUUGUGAUGAAUGUGGAGCUCCAUAUCUAAGAGAAACCUCCAAGUUCUGUUCCGAAUGUGGUACAAAGAGGCUAGGAACAUGAAACUAUGGUAAAAAAUAUCCUUUUCUGAUCCUAUGAUAUACUCAUCUCCGCCAUUGUAAAAUUGUAGGUGCUUGAUAUGAGUUGACUGUUAACUUUUUGUAAAAUAUCUGAACUUCUAUUUUUAAGUAUUUUUGAUUUUUUA